UACGUAGGGGGCAAGCGUUGUCCGGAAUCAUUGGGCGUAAAGCGCGUGUAGGCGGCCAGGUAAGUCCGUUCUGAAAGCCCGGGGCUCAACCCUGGGAUGCCGGUCGAUACUGCCGGACUAGAGUUCGGAAGAGGCGAGUGGAAUUCCCGGUGUAGCGGUGAAAUGCGCAGAUAUCGGGAGGAACACCUAUGGCGAAGGCAGCUCGCUGGGACGUUACUGACGCUGAGACGCGAAAGCGUGGGGAGCGAACAGG
rnacentral:rRNA from 1 species